rnacentral:rRNA from 2 species
GGCGAACCGGGGGAACUGAAACAUCUAAGUACCCCGAGGAAAAGAAAUCAACCGAGAUUCCGAAAGUAGCGGCGAGCGAAAUUGGACUAGCCCUUAAGCUUUACACGCGUUAGACGAACGGUCUGGAAAGUCCGACGAUACAGGGUGAUAGUCCCGUAGUUGACGACGUGUGUUCAGUGAAAUCGAGUAGGGCGGGACACGUGAUAUCCUGUCUGAAUAUGGGGGGACCAUCCUCCAAGGCUAAAUACUACUGACUGACCGAUAGUGAACCAGUACCGUGAGGGAAAGGCGAAAAGAACCCCUGUGAGGGGAGUGAAAUAGAACCUGAAACCGUGUACGUACAAGCAGUAGGAGCAGGCUUUGUCCUGUGACUGCGUACCUUUUGUAUAAUGGGUCAGCGACUUAUAUUCAGUGGCAAGGUUAACCAUCUAGGGGAGCCGUAGGGAAACCGAGUCUUAACUGGGCGUUCAGUCUCUGGAUAUAGACCCGAAACCAGGUGAUCUAGCCAUGGGCAGGUUGAAGGUUGAGUAACAUCAACUGGAGGACCGAACCGACUAAUGUUGAAAAAUUAGCGGAUGACUUGUGGCUAGGGGUGAAAGGCCAAUCAAACCUGGAGAUAGCUGGUUCUCCCCGAAAGCUAUUUAGGUAGCGCCUCGGACGAAUACUACUGGGGGUAGAGCACUGUUAAGGCUAGGGGGUCAUCCCGACUUACCAACCCUUUGCAAACUCCGAAUACCAGUAAGUACUAUCCGGGAGACACACGGCGGGUGCUAACGUCCGUCGUGGAGAGGGAAACAACCCAGACCGCCAGCUAAGGUCCCAAAUUACUACUAAGUGGGAAACGAUGUGGGAAGGCUCAGACAGCCAGGAUGUUGGCUUAGAAGCAGCCAUCAUUUAAAGAAAGCGUAAUAGCUCACUGGUCGAGUCGGCCUGCGCGGAAGAUGUAACGGGGCUAAGUAGUAAACCGAAGCUGCGGCAAUGUGCUUUUGCACAUUGGGUAGGGGAGCGUUCUGUAAGCGGUUGAAGGUGUGUGGUAACGCAUGCUGGACGUAUCAGAAGUGCGAAUGCUGACAUGAGUAACGAUAAAGGGGGUGAAAAACCUCCUCGCCGGAAGACCAAGGGUUCCUGUCCAACGUUAAUCGGGGCAGGGUAAGUCGACCCCUAAGGCGAGGCCGAAAGGCGUAGUCGAUGGGAAACGGGUUAAUAUUCCCGUACUUCUUACAAUUGCGAUGGGGGGACGGAGAAGGCUAGGUGGGCCUGGCGACGGUUGUCCAGGUUCAAGUGCGUAGGCUUAAGAGUUAGGUAAAUCCGGCUCUUUUUAAGGCUGAGACACGACGUCGAGCAUCUACGGAUGUGAAGUCAUUGAUGCCAUGCUUCCAGGAAAAGCCUCUAAGCUUCAGAUUGUAAGGAAUCGUACCCCAAACCGACACAGGUGGUCGGGUAGAGAAUACCAAGGCGCUUGAGAGAACUCGGGUGAAGGAACUAGGCAAAAUGGUACCGUAACUUCGGGAGAAGGUACGCUCUCGACGGUGAAGUCCCUCGCGGAUGGAGCUAUUGAGAGUCGCAGAUACCAGGUGGCUGCAACUGUUUAUUAAAAACACAGCACUGUGCAAAAUCGUAAGAUGACGUAUACGGUGUGACGCCUGCCCGGUGCCGGAAGGUUAAUUGAUGGGGUUAGACUUCGGUCGAAGCUCUUGAUCGAAGCCCCGGUAAACGGCGGCCGUAACUAUAACGGUCCUAAGGUAGCGAAAUUCCUUGUCGGGUAAGUUCCGACCUGCACGAAUGGCGUAAUGAUGGCCACGCUGUCUCCACCCGAGACUCAGUGAAAUUGAAAUCGCUGUGAAGAUGCAGUGUACCCGCGGCUAGACGGAAAGACCCCGUGAACCUUUACUACAGCUUGGCACUGAACAUUGACCCUACAUGUGUAGGAUAGGUGGGAGGCUUUGAAGCACGUACGCCAGUAUGUGUGGAGCCGUCCUUGAAAUACCACCCUUGUAGUGUUGAUGUUCUAACGUCGACCCCUUAUCGGGGUUGCGGACAGUGCCUGGUGGGUAGUUUGACUGGGGCGGUCUCCUCCCAAAGAGUAACGGAGGAGCACGAAGGUGGGCUAAUCACGGUUGGACAUCGUGAGGUUAGUGCAAUGGCAUAAGCCCGCUUGACUGCGAGAAUGACAAUUCGAGCAGGUGCGAAAGCAGGUCAUAGUGAUCCGGUGGUUCUGAAUGGAAGGGCCAUCGCUCAACGGAUAAAAGGUACUCCGGGGAUAACAGGCUGAUACCGCCCAAGAGUUCAUAUCGACGGCGGUGUUUGGCACCUCGAUGUCGGCUCAUCACAUCCUGGGGCUGAAGUCGGUCCCAAGGGUAUGGCUGUUCGCCAUUUAAAGUGGUACGCGAGCUGGGUUUAGAACGUCGUGAGACAGUUCGGUCCCUAUCUGCCGUGGGCGUUGGAAGAUUGAAGGGGGCUGCUCCUAGUACGAGAGGACCGGAGUGGACGAACCUCUGGUGUUCGGGUUGUGUCGCCAGACGCAUUGCCCGGUAGCUAAGUUCGGAAUCGAUAACCGCUGAAAGCAUCUAAGCGGGAAGCGAGCCCUGAGAUGAGUCUUCCCUGAUACUUUAAGUAUCCUAAAGGGUUGU